rnacentral:snoRNA from 1 species
UGGAUAAAUCCUGACUACUGGUAUUACAUGAGUCAUAUACAGUGAUUGUUUACCUGGAACUCUGAGGUUCGU